AUCACCUAGCUUAGUAGUGAUGUCCAGGUCCUAUUACAGGACCACAGAGAAUCACCUAGCUUAGUAGUGAUGUCCAGGUCCUAUUACAGGACCACAGAGAAUCACCUAGCUUAUUAGUGAUGUCCAGGUCCUAUUACAGGACCACAGAGAAUCACCUAGCUUAGUAGUGAUGUCCUGGUCCUAUUACAGGACCACAGAGAAUCACCUAGCUUAGUAGUGAUGUCCAGGUCCUAUUACAGGACCACAGAGAAUCACCUAGCUUAGUAGUGAUGUCCAGGUCCUAUUACAGGACCACAGAGAAUCACCUAGCUUAGUAGUGAUGUCCAGGUCCUAUUACACGACCACAGAGAAUCACCUUGCUUAGUAGUGAUGUCCAGGUCCUAUUACAGGACCACAGAGAAUCACCUAGCUUAGUAGUGAUGUCCUGGUCCUAUUACAGGACCACAGAGAAUCACCUAGCUUAGUAGUGAUGUCCUGGUCCUAUUACAGGGCCACAGACAAUCACCUAGCUUUGUAGUGAUGUCCAGGUCCUAUUACAGGACCACAGAGAAUCACCUAGCUUAGUAGUGAUGUCCUGGUCUUAUUACAGGACCACAGAGAAUCACCUAGCUUAGUAGUGAUGUCCAGGUCCUAUUACAGGACCACAGAGAAUCACCUAGCUUAGUAGUGAUGUCCAGGUCCUAUUACAGGACCACAGAGAAUCACCUAGCUUAGUAGUGAUGUCCAGGUCCUAUUACAGGACCACAGAGAAUCACCUAGCAUAGUAGUGAUGUCCAGGUCCUAUUACAGGACCACAGAGAAUCACCUAGCUUAGUAGUGAUGUCCAGGUCCUAUUACAGGACCACAGAGAAUCACCUAGCUUAGUAGUGAUGUCCAGGUCCUAUUACAGGACCACAGAGAAUCACC
rnacentral:lncRNA from 1 species